rnacentral:rRNA from 1 species
UAGGGAAUUUUGGGCAAUGGGCGAAAGCCUGACCCAGCAACGCCGCGUGUGGGAUGAAGGCCCUCGGGUCGUAAACCACUGUCAGGAGGAAAGAAAAGUCGGCCGGAUAAUACUCGGUCGACCUGACGGUACCUCCAAAGGAAGCACCGGCUAACUCCGUGCCAGCAGCCGCGGUAAUACGGAGGGUGCAAGCGUUGUUCGGAAUUACUGGGCGUAAAGCGCGUGUAGGUGGUCGAGUAAGUCGAAUGUGAAAGCCCCGGGCUCAACCCGGGAAGUGCAUCCGAAACUGCUCGACUAGAGUCCCGGAGAGGAAGGCAGAAUUCCCAAUGUAGGGGUGAAAUCCGUAGAUAUUGGGAGGAAUACCGGUGGCGAAGGCGGCCUUCUGGACGGUGACUGACACUCAGACGCGAAAGCGUGGGGAGCAAACAGGAUUAGAUACCCAUGUAGUCCCUGAGCGGGCUGGCAAGGCGCAU